AUCUUUGAGCCUUGAAGGCAGUGGGUAGAUGAUGUUUACUUAAUGUUUAUCUUUACCCACUGCCUUCAAGGCUCAAGAUGA
rnacentral:pre_miRNA from 1 species